CUAAAGAGAAGUAAGUAAAAGUUCAUCAGAUGAAGAAUAGAAGGUGUUUUCUAGGUGGAUGGAGGAAGAGAUAUUUACAAAGCCAGGAGGUGUGAGGGAACCUCACAUUCAGGGGAAAUGCAAGAAUAUAUGGAGGACAAGAAGAUGGAAAGAGAGGGCAGUCAGAAAAAUCAGCAAGACAGAGAAAUAACCAAGAGAAAUGAGCAAAGCCCGACUCAUCCUGGGAAUUCAAUAUUUUCUCCAAACUUUCUGAAGAUACUGAUAUUCAUCCUUUUCUGUGGUUCACUGCAUCCCUCU
rnacentral:lncRNA from 1 species